UUUUUUAAAGAAUGAGGAAAGAUAGUUCAAUAAUGUUUCUGGCAAGGAUUUAAGUGUUGUGAACGAGGUUGUGCCGCAAAUUUGCUGGUACGGCACGGCACGGUGUGUGCCGAGCCGUGUCAAUGUGUGCCGGUUAAAAAAAUUUCUAUGUGCCGACACAUAAUAGUAUAAAAUAUUUAUUUUUUUUAGCAACAAAAUAUUCUAACUAUUUAUUAUAUCAUUUUAUCAUAUCUUUUGAAUUUUAUUGAAGAAAUUACUUACUAAUUUAAAGAAUAUAGGGUUUUAAGCUGUGCUAUCGGCACGGGGUCUGUAUCGUGCCGGUAUCUUGUUGGCAUGGUACGGCACGGUGGAUACGGCUCGUGCUGACAGGCACUUAAAAUCUUGGUUUAUGAAUUAAUUUCAUACAAGUCCUUGCAAAUAUAGUAAAUGAUAAAUAUAUCCUAUAAAGUACAACUUUUAUAUAUUAUUCCUAUAAAAGUCUUUAUAUUUUUAAAUAUGUCCCUACCAUUAGAAUUCGUUAGAAAAAAAAUUAGUUAACCAUAAAUUAAAUACUUAACCCUAGUUAAUUUUUGACAUUUUUACCCCUUUAUAUUAUAAUAUUAUGACUUUUGUAAGAAUAUAUUUGCGAAAAAUUGAAAAUAUAAACAGUUCUCUAACGGUUCUCUAACGGUAACAAAUUAGGAUUUUUAGAGGAACAACAUAUGAAAGUUGAACUUUGUAUGAAUAUAUUUGCUAUUCACUAUAUUUGUAGGAACUUGUAUGAAAUUAACCCCAAAAAGUAAUAGUACAAUGCGUAAUUAAAGAAACUGUAUGGUGCAGUAUAGUAAAUUGUAACUAAGGGGCUGUUUGGUUUGACGUAAAACUGCGAAAAAUAAUUUUCGGUGGAAAAAAAUUUUCGGUGGAAAAUUUUUUUUACGUAGCUUAAUGUUUGAUUUGUAGGAAAAGAAAAAUAGUUUUCGAUGAAGGUUGUUUGAUUGAAAGGAAAAGAAAAAUAAAUGAAAAUCUAUUUAAUAUAUUUUUAUUAUAUAUAUUAUUAUUAUAUAAUAAUUAAUAUACUAUAUAUAUUAUUAUUAUAU
rnacentral:lncRNA from 1 species